UACGGAGGAUCCAAGCGUUAUCCGGAUUCGAUUGGGUUUAAAGGGUGCGUAGGCGGAAUGAUAAGUCAGUGGUGAAAUCCUGCCAGCUUAACUGCAGAACUGCCAUUGAUACUGUCAAUCUUGAGUACAUUUGAUGUGGCGGAAUGUGUCAUGUAGCAGGUGAAAUGCUUAGAUAUGACACAGAACACCGAUUGCGAAGGCAGCUCACAAAACUGUAACUGACGCUGAGGCACG
rnacentral:rRNA from 1 species